GACGAACCGUGCGAACGUUAUUCGGAAUCAUUGGGCUUAAAGGGCGCGUAGGCGGCGGCGUAAGUUCGUGGUGAAAUCCCAUCGGCUCAACCGUGGAAUCGCUUCGAAUACUGCGUCGCUUGAGUGGGAUAGGGGACCGCAGAACUGCCGGUGGAGCGGUGAAAUGUGUUGAUAUCGGCGGGAAUGCCAGUGCCGAAAGGGGCGGUCUGGACCCUCACUGACGCUGAGGCGCGAAAGCUAGGGGAGCAAACGGG
rnacentral:rRNA from 1 species